rfam:Paenibacillus sp. FSL H8-0548 NODE_16_length_127877_cov_1.39152_ID_11266, whole genome shotgun sequence.
CAGGCGGUAUUCUUAACGAAGCUGCACUGAGAUGAUUAAACAUUUGUGAAUGAUUGGUAAUGCACACUCUGCUCUGAGCCGUAGGGACCGAGACAGAAGG